AUCUCCUUCCAAUCCCUGAUGAUUCCUGACCUCUCUUCUUCCAACUGGUAAUACCUGCACUCAAGGUUGAACCAUGAGGAGGAGUCUACCCACACCCCAGACCACAGCACUUCCUCCUCUCUGUCUGCCACUCCCUAGUGGGGCCUCCUGGAUGGUGUGAGAGGACAGCAAUGGAGAUAGAUACUCGUGACGCGUCCCCAGUUCCCACUCUCAUUGGGUGUCGGAUGUCUAGAGAAGCCAAUCAGCGUCGCCGCGGUCUCAGCUCUAAAGUCUCCACGUACCCACCCGGGCUCAGAGGCUCCUCAGACGCCGAGAUGCGGGUCAUGGCGCCCCUAACCCUCCUCCUGCUGCUCUCGGAGGCCCUGGCCCUGACCGAGACCUGGGCCGGCUCGCACUCCUUGAGGUAUUUCCACACCGCCGUGUCCCGGCCCGGCCGCUGGGAGCCCCGCUUCAUCCCGUGGGCUACGUGGACGACACGCAGUUCGUGCGGUUCGACAGCGACGCCGCGAGUCCGAGAGAGGAGCCGCGGGCGCCGUGGAUGGAGCAGGAGGGGCCGGAGUAUUGGGACCGGGAGACACGGAUCGCCAAGGACGCCGCACAGACUCACCGAGGGAACCUGCGGACCCUGCGAGGCUACUACAACCAGAGCGAGUGGGGUGAGUGGCCCCGGCCCGGGACGCAGGUCACGACCCCUCCCCAUCCCCACGGACGGCCCCGGUGGCCCCGAGUCUCCAGGUCCGAGAUCGGCCCCGAGGCCGCGGGGCCCGCCCAGACCCUGGACCGGGGAGAGCCCCAGGCGCGUUUACCGGGUUUCAUUUUCAGUUGAGGCCAAAAUGUCCGCGGGUUGGUCGGGGCGGGGCGGGGCUCGGUGGGCGGGGCUGACCGCGGGGGCGGGGCCAGGGUCUCACACCCUCCAGAAGAUGUAUGGCUGCGACCUGGGGCCUGACGGGCGCCUCCUCCGCGGGUAUGACCAGUACGCCUACGACGGCAGGGAUUACAUCGCCCUGAACGAGGACCUGCGCUCCUGGACGGCCGCGGACAUGGCGGCUCAGAACACCCAGCGCAAGUGGGAGGCGGCCCGUGCGGCGGAGCGGCAGAGAGCCUACCUGGAGGGCGAGUGCCUGGAGUGGCUCCGCAGAUACCUGGAGAACGGGAAGGAGACGCUGCAGCGCGCGGAUCCCCCAAAGACACACGUGACCCACCACCCCGUCUCUGACCAUGAGGCCACCCUGAGGUGCUGGGCCCUGGGCUUCUACCCUGCGGAGAUCACACUGACCUGGCAGCGGGAUGGGGAGGACCAAACUCAGGACACCCAAGAGUUGGGGCUGGAUGUCUCCAUCUCAGUCUGA